GCUUGAGUGGCGGAAUAGGUAGACGCGCAGGACUUAAAAUCCUGUGGUAGCAAUACCGUGUGGGUUCGAUUCCCACCUUAAGCACCA
rnacentral:tRNA from 1 species